rnacentral:lncRNA from 1 species
GUAACUGUGGGUGUCAAUUCACAAGUUUAAGACAGUGUCGAUGGAUCACUUUGCUCAUGGAGAGCAUGCAGAUUUUUCUGAAAAAAAAAAAAAAAGAAGAGAACUACGUUCAGCAAGCUUUCUGCAUAAGAUGGCAUUAAGGAUUGAAAUGAACUUUGGAAAAACAUUUAAAGUGGCUUGGCAAGAGAAGGAACAUGUAGGCACAGUUUCCAGAAAGUCAAGUCCAGCCAUUGGAGCACUCAGAAGAGGGAACAGAAUGGGCACUUUGCAGUUGUCUCCUCUGCCCAAUAGCCGAAUGGACAAAUUCUUCUUUCUUCCUCUCCUGUUGUUGAUGAGGUUACCCGAUUACUCACCUGUGCCUGUAAGAACUUUCUGGACUACUCGAAGACAGAACAUAUAUGCCUAAAGUGCUUGCUGAAUAACCGACGACUAAGGAGAGAUCUUGCUAGAGGGAAGAGUCUGGAGGAAAGUAACAGAAAAACCAUCUUGAUUUUCCUGGGCUAGGUUUAAAGCUUAUAUUUUGGGCAGAGGAUGAUUACUUAUCAUGAUCUGGAGAGGGAUGUUUAGCUCAGAGACAGGACAUCAGCUAAUACAAGUAAUAUUCAAGAAAACUAUCUUGUAGGUGUUCACUUGAGCAGUAUUUAUGAAUGACUGUCUAUUUAAAUAAUUUCUGUUUUACUGCACAUUGUUACAGCUCCUGCAUUCUGAUAAUGAUGGUGUGCUAAUAUGAGCUAGCUGCUUGUAUAAGCUGCUUAUAAGUGCUCAUAUAAGCUGCUCAUAAGUGUUGUGGGGUGGGGAGACAUUAGUGGGGAACAUACUCUUCAUCGUGUAGAUGGUUUUUACUGUGUGUGACAAUUAACAGUGCUUUAGUCCAGAAGUUAAAAAGAAAAAAAAAAAGAAUCCCCCAGUCCUUUUAAAUUGUUAUUACAGCUUCAAGGGGCACAUGAGAAAGAAGGCUCCUCCUUUUGUGCAUAAAGAUUCUCAAAAUUGUUCUUGGGGUUCUGAACUCUCUGAGCUGCUAUGAAGUCUAAAAAAAGAAUGCUUUUGGUGCAGAGGAGAUAAACAAAAUUGGGGAGGAUAUUAAUAACCUGUGACUAAAUGCUAAGUGGGUUAUGAUUCUGACACAUUUAGAUAUGGUAGACAUUUAAGAUAUAAGCAUUGUCAGUCUAAUUAUUGCAAAAUAAUUACAACUGUUGAAGGUGAAGCUCAGGAAGUGUGAAGUGCAUUCAAGAAUUGGAGUUCCCUGGAGAUGUGAUUAGCUCACAAUCACCUUCCCUAGAGUUCUGCUAGGAGAUGUUUUGUGUAAGAAAAGAAAGGUCUGACAGAUAAACAGUGGUUUCGUCUGAGUUACAAAUUAUUACAGGCUGAUUGAUCUGAGUAGAAAACUGUCCAACAAAUCAAGAAUC